UUACUGUAAGAAUAAGCACACCGGCUAAUUCCGUGCCAGCAGCCGCGGUAAUACGGAAGGUGCAAGCGUUAUCCGGUUUUAUUGGGUUUAAAGGGUGCGUAGGCGGCUUAUUAAGUCAGUUGUGAAAUCCUAGCGCUCAACGUUAGAACUGCGAUUGAUACUGAUAGGCUUGAGUCAAGAAGAGGUAGGUAGAAUUUAUGGUGUAGUAGUGAAAUGCUUAGAUAUCAUAAGGAAUACCAAUAGCGUAGGCAGCUUACUGGUCUUGAACUGACGCUGAGGCACGAAAGCGUGGGGAGCAAACAGGAUUAGAUACCCUGGUAGUCCACGCUGUAAACGAUGAUCACUCGAUAUACAUGACUUGUCAUGUGUGUCCAAGCGAAAGCGUUAAGUGAUCCACCA
rnacentral:rRNA from 1 species